rnacentral:rRNA from 1 species
GGGUGAUGGCGUGCCUUUUGUAGAAUGAACCGGCGAGUUACGAUAUCGUGCGAGGUUAAGCAGAAGAUGCGGAGCCGUAGCGAAAGCGAGUCUGAAUAGGGCGAAGAGUACGAUGUUGUAGACCCGAAACCGUGUGAGCUAGCCAUGAGCAGGCUGAAGGUCAGGUAACACUGACUGGAGGGCCGAACCAGGGCACGUUGAAAAGUGCUUGGAUGACUUGUGGCUAGGGGUGAAAUUCCAAUCGAACACGGAUAUAGCUGGUUCUCUCCGAAAUAGCUUUAGGGCUAGCCUCGAUGUUAAGUCUACUGGAGGUAGAGCACUGAAUGGGUGAUGGCCCCACCUCGGGGUACUGAUCUCAAUCAAACUCCGAAUGCCAGAUAGAUAUAAUCGGGAGUCAGACUGUGGGUGAUAAGGUCCAUGGUCAAAAGGGAAAGAGCCCAGACCGCCAGCUAAGGCCCCCAAGUGUCCGUUAAGUGGAAAAGGAUGUGGAGAUGCACAGACAACUAGGAGGUUGGCUUAGAAGCAGCCAUCCUUUAAAGAGUGCGUAAUAGCUCACUAGUCGAGUGACUCUGCGCCGAAAAUGUACCGGGGCUAAACGGACCGCCGAAGCUGCGGAUUGACUUUAGAGUCAGUGGUAGGAGAGCGUUCUAACAGCGGUGAAGCAGUACCGGAAGGAGCUGUGGAGCGGUUAGAAGUGAGAAUGCCGGUGUGAGUAGCGAAAGAUAGGUGAGAAUCCUAUCCAUCGAAAGCCUAAGGUUUCCAGGGGAAGGCUCGUCCGCCCUGGGUAAGUCGGGACCUAAGGUGAGGCCGAAAGGCGUAGCCGAUGGACAACAGGUUGAUAUUCCUGUACCACUUAUUAAACUGAUGGAGUGACGGAGAAGGCUAAGUUGAGCGUGUGAUUGGAUUCACGUGUAAGCAGUGAGGUGGUCAUGUAGGCAAAUCCGCAUGGCAUAACAUUGAGCUGUGAUGCCGAAGCCGAAUGGCGAAGUCAACUGACGUCACGCUUCCAAGAAAAGCUUCUAGGGUUAAUUUAAUAAGUGCCCGUACCGAUAACCGACACAGGUAGGCGAGGAGAGAAUCCUAAGAUGAGCGAGAGAACUCUUGUUAAGGAACUCGGCAAAAUGACCCCGUAACUUCGGGAGAAGGGGUGCUUGUGAAAGCAAGCCGCAGUGAAUAGGCCCAGGCGACUGUUUAUCAAAAACACAGGUCUCUGCUAAACCGCAAGGUGAUGUAUAGGGGCUGACGCCUGCCCGGUGCUGGAAGGUUAAGAGGAGAGGUUAGCGCAAGCGAAGCUUUGAAUUGAAGCCCCAGUAAACGGCGGCCGUAACUAUAACGGUCCUAAGGUAGCGAAAUUCCUUGUCGGGUAAGUUCCGACCCGCACGAAAGGCGUAACGAUCUGGGCGCUGUCUCAACAAGAGACUCGGUGAAAUCAUAGUACCUGUGAAGAUGCAGGUUACCCGCGACAGGACGGAAAGACCCCGUGGAGCUUUACUGUAGCUUGAUAUUGAGCACUGGUGGCACAUGUACAGGAUAGGUAGGAGACGAAGAAACCAGGACGCCAGUCUUGGUGGAGUCGCUGUUGGGAUACUACCCUUGUGUCACUGGGGUUCUAACCCGUGGCCCUUAUCGGGUCAGGGAACAGUGUCAGGUGGGCAGUUUGACUGGGGCGGUCGCCUCCCAAAGAGUAACGGAGGCGCCCAAAGGUUCCCUCAGAAUGGUUGGAAAUCAUUCGAAGAGUGUAAAGGCAGAAGGGAGCUUGACUGCGAGACCUACAAGUCGAGCAGGGACGAAAGUCGGGCUUAGUGAUCCGGCGGUACCGAAUGGAAGGGCCGUCGCUCAACGGAUAAAAGCUACCCCGGGGAUAACAGGCUGAUCUCCCCCAAGAGUUCACAUCGACGGGGAGGUUUGGCACCUCGAUGUCGGCUCAUCGCAUCCUGGGGCUGUAUUCGGUCCCAAGGGUUGGGCUGUUCGCCCAUUAAAGCGGUACGCGAGCUGGGUUCAGA